AGCAGCCGCGGUAAUUCCAGCUCCAAUAGCGUAUAUUAAAGUUGUUGCAGUUAAAAAGCUCGUAGUUGAAUUUCGGGAUCAAAGGAUCGGUCAUGCCUUGGUAUGUACUGGUUUUAUUGGUUCUCACCUUCUAAAGAACCAUAAUGUCAUUCAUUUGAUGUUAUGGGGAAUUAGGACUGUUACCUUGAAAAAUUAGAGUGUUUAAAGCAGGCUUACGCUUGAAUACAUUAGCAUGGAAUAAUGAAAUAGGACAUCAGAUUCUAUUUUGUUGGUUUCUAGGAUCGAUGUAAUGAUUAAUAGGGAUAGUUGGGGGCAUUAGUAUUCAAUUGUCAGAGGUGAAAUUCUUGGAUUUAUUGAAGACUAACUACUGCGAAAGCAUUUGCCAAGGAUGUUUUCAUUAAUCAAGAACGAAAGUUAGGGGAUCGAAGACGAUCAGAUACCGUCGUAGUCUUAACCACAAACUAUGCCGACUAGGGAUCGGAUGAUGUUAAUUUUAUAAUGACUCAUUCC
rnacentral:rRNA from 1 species